ACGAACGCUGGCGGCGUGCCUAAUACAUGCAAGUCGAACGAAACUUUCUUACACCGAAUGCUUGCAUUCACCGUAAGAAGUUGAGUGGCGGACGGGUGAGUAACACGUGGGUAACCUGCCUAAAAGAAGGGGAUAACACUUGGAAACAGGUGCUAAUACCGUAUAUCUCUAAGGAUCGCAUGAUCCUUAGAUGAAAGAUGGUUCUGCUAUCGCUUUUAGAUGGACCCGCGGCGUAUUAACUAGUUGGUGGGGUAACGGCCUACCAAGGUGAUGAUACGUAGCCGAACUGAGAGGUUGAUCGGCCACAUUGGGACUGAGACACGGCCCAAACUCCUACGGGAGGCAGCAGUAGGGAAUCUUCCACAAUGGACGCAAGUCUGAUGGAGCAACGCCGCGUGAGUGAAGAAGGUCUUCGGAUCGUAAAACUCUGUUGUUAGAGAAGAACACGAGUGAGAGUAACUGUUCAUUCGAUGACGGUAUCUAACCAGCAAGUCACGGCUAACUACGUGCCAGCAGCCGCGGUAAUACGUAGGUGGCAAGCGUUGUCCGGAUUUAUUGGGCGUAAAGGGAACGCAGGCGGUCUUUUAAGUCUGAUGUGAAAGCCUUCGGCUUAACCGGAGUAGUGCAUUGGAAACUGGAAGACUUGAGUGCAGAAGAGGAGAGUGGAACUCCAUGUGUAGCGGUGAAAUGCGUAGAUAUAUGGAAGAACACCAGUGGCGAAAGCGGCUCUCUGGUCUGUAACUGACGCUGAGGUUCGAAAGCGUGGGUAGCAAACAGGAUUAGAUACCCUGGUAGUCCACGCCGUAAACGAUGAAUGCUAGGUGUUGGAGGGUUUCCGCCCUUCAGUGCCGCAGCUAACGCAAUAAGCAUUCCGCCUGGGGAGUACGGCCGCAAGGUUGAAACUCAAAGGAAUUGACGGGGGCCCGCACAAGCAGUGGAGUAUGUGGUUUAAUUCGAAGCAACGCGAAGAACCUUACCAGGUCUUGACAUCCUACUAACGAGAUAGAGAUAUGUUAGGUGCCCUUCGGGGAAAGUAGAGACAGGUGGUGCAUGGUUGUCGUCAGCUCGUGUCGUGAGAUGUUGGGUUAAGUCCCGCAACGAGCGCAACCCUUGUUGUCAGUUGCCAGCAUUAAGUUGGGCACUCUGGCGAGACUGCCGGUGACAAACCGGAGGAAGGUGGGGACGACGUCAAGUCAUCAUGCCCCUUAUGACCUGGGCUACACACGUGCUACAAUGGACGGUACAACGAGUCGCGAGACCGCGAGGUUUAGCUAAUCUCUUAAAGCCGUUCUCAGUUCGGAUUGUAGGCUGCAACUCGCCUACAUGAAGUCGGAAUCGCUAGUAAUCGCGAAUCAGCAUGUCGCGGUGAAUACGUUCCCGGGCCUUGUACACACCGCCCGUCACACCAUGAGAGUUUGUAACACCCAAAGCCGGUGGGGUAACCGCAAGGAGCCAGCCGUCUAAGGUGGGACAGAUGAUUGGGGUG
rnacentral:rRNA from 1 species